rnacentral:misc_RNA from 1 species
UUACCUGGGUUGAAAGCAAGAUUCCAAAGUGCCCCUGCUGCAGUUUCAUGGACAUCCUCAGCCUCAGAUCGUGCCAGAGCAAUUAGAGGUGCAACACCUCCUUCUCGUCCAAUGGCAAUGCUAUUGGCUUCCGACACCGACAAUCCCCAGAGAGCUCCAGCAGCCCUCUCUUGUAGACCAGGAGAGGCAUUUGAACAGGAUUGAGCAAGAGCAACCAAAGCCUCAACACCACCAGCCACUGCAAUUGCUUCUCGAUUCCUGUCAUCAAAAGAUAAGUUCCACAAAGCACCAGCAGCUUCCUGCCUGACACCUUCAUGUGGUGA